rnacentral:rRNA from 1 species
GACGAACGCUGGCGGCGCGCUUAACACAUGCAAGUCGAGCGAGAACCAGGGCUUCGGCCCUGGGGACAGCGGCGAACGGGUGAGUAACACGUUGGUAAUCUGCCCUCGGCACCGGAAUAGCCCGGGGAAACCCGGCUUAAUGCCGGAUGGCCCCUUCACCUCGCGAGGUGUCGGGAAAAGGUAGCUUCGGCCUCUGGCCGAGGAUGAGCCCGCGGGGGAUUAGCUUUGUGGCGGGGUAACGGCCCACCAAGGCGACGAUGCGUAGCUGGUCUGAGAGGACGAUCAGCCACACUGGGACUGAGACACGGCCCAGACUCCUACGGGAGGCAGCAGUGGGGAAUCUUGCGCAAUGGGCGAAAGCCUGACGCAGCGACGCCGCGUGAGGGAAGAAGGCCUUCGGGUUGUAAACCUCUUUCAGGAGGGACGAAGCUACUCGGGUGAAUAGCCCAGAGGGUGACGGUACCUCCAGAAGAAGCCCCGGCUAACUACGUGCCAGCCGCCGCAGUAA